GAGUCUAGCAUGUGCGCGAGUCAUUGGGAUUCGUUGCUAAACCUAAAGGCGAAAUGAAAGUGAAGGCGCGCCUCGCGCGCGCCGAGGGAGGAUGGGCGCGAUUCUCGUCGUCGCCUCGCACUCCCGGGGCGUCUCGUUCUCAUCGCGAGAAGAGGCGCACCCAGAGCGUACACGCUGGGACCCGAAAGAUGGUGAACUAUGCCUGGUCAGGACGAAGUCAGGGGAAACCCUGAUGGAGGUCCGUAGCGAUUCUGACGUGCAAAUCGAUCGUCGGAACUGGGUAUAGGGGCGAAAGACUAAUCGAACCAUCUAGUAGCUGGUUCCCUCCGAAGUUUCCCUCAGGAUAGCUGGCGCUCGUAUCGAGCGAGUCUCAUCCGGUAAAGCGAAUGAUUAGAGGCAUUGGGGUCGAAACGGCCUCAACCUAUUCUCAAACUUUAAAUGGGUGAGAUCUCCGGCUUGCUUAAACGCUGAAGCCGCGAGAUCGGAUCAGAGUGCCAAGUGGGCCACUUUUGGUAAGCAGAACUGGCGCUGUGGGAUGAACCAAACGCAGAGUUAAAGCGCCUAAAUCGACGCUUAUGGGAUACCAUGAAAGGCGUUGGUAACUUAAAACAGCAGGACGGUGGCCAUGGAAG
rnacentral:rRNA from 1 species